rnacentral:ncRNA from 1 species
CGUACGAAACGGCAAAACCAUUGAAAAAUGGUGACGCAAAACUAAAGGGGCUACUAUUUUUAACAGGAGAAAAGCCAUACCGUAAGAAGGACACUACUUUUCUUUUACAAAGGAUAAUGCCAGCCAGUUACCGAA